GACGAACGCUGGCGGCGUGCCUAAUACAUGCAAGUCGAGCGGAUCUUACCUUCGGGUAAGGUUAGCGGCGGACGGGUGAGUAACACGUAGGCAACCUGCCUGCAAGACUGGGAUAACAUUCGGAAACGAAUGCUAAUACCGGAUACGCAGUUCUCUCGCAUGAGGGAGCUGGGAAAGACGGCGCAAGCUGUCACUUGCAGAUGGGCCUGCGGUGCAUUAGCUAGUUGGUGGGGUAACGGCUCACCAAGGCGACGAUGCAUAGCCGACCUGAGAGGGUGAUCGGCCACACUGGGACUGAGACACGGCCCAGACUCCUACGGGAGGCAGCAGUAGGGAAUCUUCCGCAAUGGACGAAAGUCUGACGGAGCAACGCCGCGUGAGUGAUGAAGGUUCUCGGAUCGUAAAGCUCUGUUGCCAGGGAAGAACAGCCAGGUGAGUAACUGCACUUGGAAUGACGGUACCUGAGAAGAAAGCCCCGGCUAACUACGUGCCAGCAGCCGCCGUAACAC
rnacentral:rRNA from 1 species